GUGGGGAAUAUUGGGCAAUGGAGGCAACUCUGACCCAGCCAUGCCGCGUGCAGGAAGACGGUCCUCUGGAUUGUAAACUGCUUUUGAAUGGGAAGAACAUACGGUUUGCGAACCGUACUGACGGUACUAUUAGAAUAAGCACCGGCUAACUCCGUGCCAGCAGCCGCGGUAAUACGGAGGGUGCAAGCGUUAUCCGGAUUUAUUGGGUUUAAAGGGUGCGUAGGCGGCCUUCUAAGUCGGUGGUUAAAGGUAGCAGCUUAACUGUUUUACAUGCCAUCGAUACUGUAGGGCUUGAGUGAUUUGGAGGUAGCUAGAAUUCCCUGUGUAGCGGUGAAAUGCAUAGAUACGGGGAGGAAUACCGAUUGCGAAGGCAUGUUACUACGAAUUAACUGACGCUGAGGCACGAAAGCGUGGGGAUCAAACAGGAUUAGAUACCCGAGUAGUCC
rnacentral:rRNA from 1 species